rnacentral:lncRNA from 1 species
AUGCAAAGCAGGCGACCGAAAUGCAGAAGUGGCCGGGUCGCCCAAAGAAACUGCCCCUCUCCGGAGAGAGAGGACGCAAAGCUGAGGUCCUCAACGACCUCGGCGCUAGCUCGAACAUCGAAAGGGGCAGGCUUUGCCAGUAGAUCAGAGCUCUACCACAGGCCUGGGGAGAAGGAAGGUCUGCAGGGAAGAGUUGGAGGCCCAAAGCCCACUCUUGAGUUCCCAGUGGAUUUUGGGAGAAGAGAGGAAGAAGCAGGAGACAGACAGUCUGAAGGAAAGGUCGCAUCCUCCGUGAUUGUGACCUUUAACCAGAGUGAGGAGGUAUGUCAAUGGGUUAAGGAAGGUUCUCAGGAGAUUACCACAUGGGCUGCCUACCUCCUCCUCCCCUGUCCUCAGGCACUGGGCUAGGAGAGGGGGCGGCCCCUUUAAAGUCAGCUUCGUGGAUCACCAUGGUUAUACAGAGCUAGGGCCUGGCCUAGAUUUAGUUUCUGGAGUCACCUAUAAGUCCUUGUUGGUCCAGAC